GCUUCGUGAGAGCCAGAUGACGUAAAGCACAUGGCCGACGGUCUAAUUAGUCUCCUUUGCUAACGAUGAAUCUGCCAUUUCGAAUUAUUUUGUGGUACCGGCUAAAACCAAGCUUCGACGUCUCAUUAAUUGCAAGCUUUCAGCACGAAUUGUGCGCGCUGGGAAAGAACAGAAAAGAACAGACAGAGAAGUGGAAUUUAUACGUAUAGCUAGGACUCGAUCAUGUGCAAACGUCGAUCACGCUCAACUGCAAAAGAUAAAUUAUUAGACUGCAUUCCUUAAGCUAACAUAACGACGUAAGCAAUUAAUUUUGAUGAUAGAGGUACGUAGUCUGGAAGAGGUACUUUGUCUGGAAUUUUCGUCAUCGGUUUUACUUAUUUACGGUGAGAAAUGAUAUUGGACACAUGACAUCGACACAUGGUAACAGUACAGUGGAGCGCGUACUUGGAAAUAUGCAAGAUGGAUUUGGUGACAGUCGAGCAGAAUUGACACCUUCUCUUUGAGUUUCUACGAUCAUCUAUUCCUCGAUCAAGGGUGCUUUCUUUUACCGUAACUUCAUUCAGUUUGCUAUUAG